UGGAAUAUUGCAGGGACCCUGAGGGUACCAGCAAAAGCCCUUUGAGCCCCUCCAGCUCCUCCAAGAUUGCAGACAACUGGCUGCAUUUCUCCUGAGUCUCAGACUUCCCACAUAAUUCCGGUCCUGAGUUCUGUUCAGCUAGAUAUUCUCACUCCUCGAUGAAGUCGUGAGUUUUUCCUUGAGACUUUUUGUUUCUCAGGAAGGGGGUAAUCACUCUGGGGUUCUCCCCUGUGUGCACGUGGAUAACUGUAUGCCAUUUCUCUUGCUCAACUCCUUUGUGAGGUGAUUUUUCAGUGAACUUUCAGAAGGCAAAGGGGAAGCUUUCCCUUGGACCCUACAGUUUUGGUGCUGUGGGCAGGCUCACCAAAGCCACUCUGCUCUUCUAGAAGCCACAGUGAAGGGAACCCAGGGCUUGACAACGGGCAAAAGGGGAGAGCCAUAAUGCAAGCCAUUCCUAGUGGAAAAGUUGAGAAGGAAGAACAGCUUAUUCCAGACCAGUGAAAUUGAAAUUCCCAUGUGGAACAACAUAAGAGGAAAGAGGCCUUCCCUUACAAAGUUGGACAGCCCUCUCGCAUGGCAAUUUGGCAGUAAGUAUCAACAUGUUCAGUGUGUAUAACCUUUGCCCAAGCAAUACCACUUCUGGGAAUCUACAGAAAUUCUACCAGAAGACCACAAAGAUACAUAAGCCCUGAGCACUGAAGCACUGUCUGAUGUGAAAACCUGAAAAUAUCCUUUGUGUUUCCCAUAAGCAAACAUUGAUGCAUUUAUGCCGUGAAAAGGGCUGUUAGAGCAAGGCCGAUCUGAGGGAUGAAUAUUGACGUAUAUCAUUAUGAUGACACGUGAGAAAAGUAAGUCACAGAAUAGGAUUAGCUUACUGCUUAUAUUUAACUGAUAUGAAAUUGGCAAGCAAAGACAAUUAUGCACUCCACACAAGAGUGAGUGAUGUAAAUAACAUUUGGAAUUCUGCACACCCUUCCACCAUCCUUGGUCCCAGAGGGAGACGCGGUCAUCAUCAGUCUCCCAGGAUUCCCAGCAUUGAGAGCUGCUCUGGUGUCUGAGUGUGGCUUCCAGCAUUAAGAAAAAUAGGUAUCCUUGGGCCGGGUGCGGUGGCUCACACCUGUAAUCUCAGCUCUUUGGGAGGCCAAGGUGGGUGGAUUGCUUGAGGUCAGGGGUUCGAGACCAGCCUGGCCAACAUGGUGAAACCCCGUCUCUACUAAAAAUACAAAAAUUAGCCAGGCACGCUGGCUCACGCCUGUAAUCUCAGCACUUUGGGAGACUGAGGCGGCCAGAUCAUGAGGUCAGGAGAUCGAACCAUCCUGGCUAACACGGUGAAACCCUGUCUCUACUUAAAAUACAAAAAAACUAGCCAGGCAUGGUGGCAGGCGCCUGUAGUCCCAGCUACUCGGGAGGCUGAGGCAGGAGAAUAGUGUGAACCCGGGAGGCGGAGCUUGCAGUGAGCUGAGAUCGCACCACUGCACUCCAGCCGGGGUGACAGAGCAGGACUCCAUCUCAAAAACACACACACACACACACACACACACACACACACACACACACACACACACAAAUUAGCUGGGUGUGGUAGUGGGCACCUGUAAUCCCAGCUACUUGGGAGGCUGAGGCAGAAGAAUUGCUUGAACCCGGGAGACAGAGGUUGCAGUGAGCUGAGAUCAUGCCACUGCACUCUAGCCUGGGAGACAGAGCGAGACUCUGUCUCAGAAAAAAAAAAGAAAAGAAAGAAAAAUAGGUAUCCGCACACCACAUGGCCCCUGAAUGCAAGACAACUCCUUAUCCUGGUGCUCAAGCAGCCUCUUCCAGCUGUGCUGAGACAGAAUGUCAGUCUCUCGAGCCAGGCGCGGUGGCUUGCACCUGUAAUCCCAGCACUUUGGGAGGCUGAGGCGGGUGGACCAAGAGGUCAGGAGUUCGAGACCAGCCUGGCCAAUAUGGUGAAACCCCGUCUCUACUAAAAAUACAAAAAUUAGCAGGGCACAGUGGCAUGCACCUGUAGUCCCAGCUACUCUGGAGGCUGAGGCUGAAGAAUCCCCUGAACCCAGGAGGCGGAGUUUGCAGUGAGCUGAGAUCAUGCCACUGCACUCCAGGCUGGGCGACACAGCGAGACUCCAUCUCAAAAAAAAAAAAGGCAGUCUUCCGUGGAGAACCUUCCAAGGGCCGACUCUUCCCUCUUCUCCUCCACCCCUUCCCUUCCCUUUCCUGAAUUGUUCAGUCCUGAAGCUAUUAGGUGGGACAGAGCAAGGUAGAUGCCUGUAGCAUGGGAAAGGGAGGGCAGAUGACUCACAGAGAGCAUCAAAGCCCAGAGAGAAUGAGGAGGGUGUCCAGAGUAUGUGCGCUGGCACCUGACGUGGCAUGUCGGAGCCCAGGCUGAGGAAAGUGACCCCGCAGGGGUCUGGCCAGCAUGUGGUUCCUUUUGCCCAUUCCCAUUUCUCCUUCAGUGCACUGCUCUUCCUGGAGUAAGGAACGAAUCCGGAGAAGCAGAAGGCAAUGAGCCGGCUUUUAGAGCAGCCAAGGCUUGGUCCAUGGCAGAGCCAUUCAGCACAACAUGCUCUAUGACCACACCGCUGGGCUCGAGCCCAGCCAAGCAGCCUCCACGCAGGGGGACUGGACAAUCAGCCGCUUCUCUGCCCGUUUCCUCAUCCUUAAAGAGGAAACGUCAAGCCCUUGGCACAGCAUCCAGCCCACAGUCAGUGUUCAGUGGACAUGAGCUGCCUUCAGGGCAGCUCUGUCUUCAGGCCUCACAGGGUAGCUUUGAACAGGCAGAGCCAGAGGAGCUGGGGAUGUCCCCUCUGUUGCUGUCUCCACGGUGGGAAAUGGGCAGCUUGAAAACCUGAUAGGAGCAACUUGGCUCUAUCUAUCAGAAUGUGAAACAUGCCAGCCCCUCAGCCCAGCUGUCACGCCCCUUGGACCCUGCUCUGCACCGACACCAGAACGAAGGCACAGGCACAUUCACAAGGUGUUCACGGAGGCACCGAUGGUGAUAGGAAAACGCCGGAAGUUAGCGAUGUGAUCACCAACAGGGGACUGGGUAAACAGACCCCACUCAAAAGACCGAGGCCCAGCAUGAACCAUGCCACAUAAGAAUAGUGAAGAAAGUAAAUGGCAGAAUUCUAUUUGUGGGAUGAUGUCAUUUGUAUGAAAACAUAAAGUAACUAAACAGAUAACAGUGUGCAUUCCAUCCAGAAAUCGGUAUACAAAAAAUACAGCCACAUGUAUGUCUGAGUGUAUGUACAAAAUGAACAUCUUUAUGCAGGGGAAAAGUCUGGGAGGACAGACAGAAAGGCAUGUCUGCAGAGUGGGGUGAGGAGGAACAGGAAUGUUUACACUUCAAGAGUGCUGUACCGUUUGAAUUGCUAGUAAAGAAUGCAGGUCAAUUUUAUAGUCAAAAAACUAACAUCAGGAUGCUUAGGAGAUACAGACUGAAACACUGAAGAAUAAGGCACCAAUGACUCAGCAAUAAUAAAUACAUAAGACGUGAAUAUUUUAUCCAUGUUAUAGAGAAAGGGACAGAGAGAAACGGGAAAAUUUGUUUGUUUGUUUUGUGUGUGACAGAGUCUU
rnacentral:lncRNA from 10 species